AGUGAACGCUGGCGGUAGGCCUAACACAUGCAAGUCGAACGGCAGCACAGUAAGAGCUUGCUCUUACGGGUGGCGAGUGGCGGACGGGUGAGGAAUACAUCGGAAUCUACUUUUUCGUGGGGGAUAACGUAGGGAAACUUACGCUAAUACCGCAUACGACCUACGGGUGAAAGCAGGGGAUCUUCGGACCUUGCGCGAUUGAAUGAGCCGAUGUCGGAUUAGCUAGUUGGCGGGGUAAAGGCCCACCAAGGCGACGAUCCGUAGCUGGUCUGAGAGGAUGAUCAGCCACACUGGAACUGAGACACGGUCCAGACUCCUACGGGAGGCAGCAGUGGGGAAUAUUGGACAAUGGGCGCAAGCCUGAUCCAGCCAUACCGCGUGGGUGAAGAAGGCCUUCGGGUUGUAAAGCCCUUUUGUUGGGAAAGAAAAGCAGCAGGUUAAUACCCCGCCGUUCUGACGGUACCCAAAGAACAAGCACCGGCUAACUUCGU
rnacentral:rRNA from 1 species